rnacentral:lncRNA from 1 species
CUACAAGAAAAGUCUAAAUCGGAGUUGGGGGUGCUCUGGCAAGACCCUCCGACGCUCAAGUUAGUACUCUACUUCAACAGAAAUGGAGUGCUCGAACGAAAAUUUUGGCAGAGUUUUGAGAUAGAAUUUUUGAGCUUAGAAAAGAACGUAUCUGGGGAUCCUUAUUUAUAGACGAAGAGUGUAACUGACUGACAGCGACAUCUGUAACCAUCUGGUAGUGGGCCGCUCAGAGCCGUGUGGAGUUUGUUAUGGAGAGUAGUGGCGUCAGAGGUUGUUCAGGGCCACGUGGAGCUUGUUGCAGAGAGUGGAGUGGUGUCCGUUGUCGUGACUUGCUAGAGAGUGGUGGAGCUGCAUGGAAUCCAUUACAGAGGGUGGAGCAGGGUGGCAGUUCUUGUCAUGGCUUGUCAGAGAGUGGUGGAGCCGCGUGGAAUC